rnacentral:rRNA from 1 species
GUGCCAGCCGCCGCGGUAAUACGUAGGGGGCAAGCGUUGUCCGGAAUCAUUGGGCGUAAAGAGCGUGUAGGCGGCCCGAUAAGUCCGCCGUGAAAGUCCAGGGCUCAACCCUGGAAUGCCGGUGGAAACUGUCGGGCUGGAGUCCGGAAGAGGCGAGUGGAAUUCCUGGUGUAGCGGUGAAAUGCGCAGAUAUCAGGAGGAACACCAAUGGCGAAGGCAGCUCGCUGGGACGGUACUGACGCUGAGACGCGAAAGCGUGGGGAGCAAACAGGAUUAGAAACCCUCGUAGUCC